rnacentral:rRNA from 1 species
GACAGCAGUCGCCGCGGGAAUACGUAGGGUGCGAGCGUUAAUCGGAAUUACUGGGCGUAAAGCGUGCGCAGGCGGUUUGUUAAGACAGAUGUGAAAUCCCCGGGCUUAACCUGGGAACUGCAUUUGUGACUGGCCGGCUAGAGUAUGGCAGAGGGAGGUGGAAUUCCACGUGUAGCAGUGAAAUGCGUAGAUAUGUGGAGGAACACCGAUGGCGAAGGCAGCCUCCUGGGCCAAUACUGACGCUCAUGCACGAAAGCGUGGGGAGCAAACAGGAUUAGAUACCCGUGUAGUCCCUGUCUCUUAUAC